CACCCUGUGUGUCUCUGUCCUGCCAGCACCGAGGGUUCAUCCAUCUGCAGAGCCCGGGCCACUGGGAGGAGACGCCAUGACCCCCGCCCUCACAGCCCUGCUCUGCCUCGGGCUGAGUCUGGGCCCCAGGACCCACGUGCAGGCAGAGGCCCUCCCAAAUCCCACCCUCUGGGCUAGGCCAGGCUCUAUGAUCAUCCGGGGGAACCCGUGACCAUCUGGUGUGGGGGACCUGGAGGCCCCAAAAGAGUACCGACGCUGGAUAAAGAGAGGGGAAGCACAGUGCCAUAGACGCACAGAACCUAGUGGAGCCCAGGAACAAGGCCAGAUUCUCCAUCCCAUCCAUGACAGAGCACCAGGCAGGGAGAUAUCGCUGUAACUAUGUCAGCCCUGAAGGCUGGUCAGAGCCCAGCGAAACACGGUGCCUCCUUCUCUCUGGAGCCUACAGCAAACCCACCCUCUCAGCCCUGCCCGGCCUGUGGUGGCCUCAGGAGGGAACAUGACCCUCGAUGUAGUUCACGAAGGGAUAUCAGCAUUUGUUCUGAUUGAGGAAGGAGAACACAGGCUCCCGGACCCUGGACUCACGGCAGCUCCACGGUGGGCAGUUCCAGGCCCUGUUCCCUGUGGAUUUGUGACCCCAGCCACAGAGUGGACGUUCAGAUGCUAUUACUAUUAUGGAGACCCCCAGGUGUGGUCCCACCGCAGUGACCCUACGAUUCUGGCCUCAGGUGAGGGACCACGGCCUUCUCUAAUCCACUUUCAGGAGCCUGUCCGUGGCCCUGGAGAGACCUUGACCCUGCAGUGUGGCUCUGAUGGCUCGACGAAUUUGCUCUGUACAGGAGGAACGUGACUUCCUCCAGAGCCCUGGUCAGCAGCGCCAGGCUGGGCUCUCCCCCAGUUAACUUCACCCUGGGCCUGUGGGGGCUCCCACGGGGGCAGUACAGAUGCUACAGUGCACACAACCUCUCCUCCAGUGGUCGGCCCCAGCGAUCCCUGGACAUCAAGUCUCAGACCGGGCCCCACGGUGGCUUCGGGAAGAACGUGACCCUGCUGUGUCAGUCACGGGGGCAGUUCCACACUUUCCUUCUGACCAAGGAGGGGGCAGCCCAUCCCCGCUCGACCCUCUGGGGGCUCCACUUCCCCCACCCACAGAACCACGCUCCACAGCUGACAGGCAUGCACCAAAAACCCCACCUCUCAGCCCUGCCCGGCCCUGUGGUGGCCUCCAGGAGGAGCAUUGACCCUCGAUGUGGUUCACCGAAGGGAUAUCAGCAUUUUGUUCUGAUUGAGGAAGGAGAACACAGGCUCCCCCGGACCCUGGACUCACAGCAGCUCCACAGUGGGUGGUACCAGGCCCUGUUCCCUGUGGGCCCGUGACCCCCAGCCACAGGUGGGCAUUCCAGAUGCUAUUACUAUUAUAAGAACACCCCCCAGGUGUGGUCCCACCCCAGUGACCCCCUGGAGAUUCUGGCCUCAGGCGUGUCUAGGAAGCCCUCCCUCCUGACCCUGCAGAGCCCUGUCGUGGCCCUGGAGGGCCUGACCCUGCAGUGUGGCUCUAGCAUCGGCUCACGACAGAUUUGCUCUGUACAAGGAGGGAAACGUGACUUCCUCCAGUGCCUGGGCUCGCUCCAGGCUGGGCUUUUGAGCCAACUUCACCUGGGCCCUGUGGCCGCUCCACACGGGGGCCAGUACAGAUGCUACAGUGCACACAACCUCUCCUCCAAGUGGUGGCUGGCGAUCCCCUGGACAUCCUGAUCUCAAACCCCCUGGGCUACGUGGUCUCAGGACCAUCACGGAAACCAGCCUCCACACCCACAGGGCCGCUCCACAGCUGCAGUGACGGUGACCUGGGGCAGGGGAACGGCGCGCCGUGGUUCAGGACGGUCAGGCUCUUUCCAGGGCUCAGCUCUGCGUCAACGUCAAACAAACCUGAAUGCUCGGGUGAGCAGGGAAGUGGGGACCCAUGGGCCGACGGAGGGUGUACCAGCCAGAGGAACCCAAACACACAGGGAUGUCAGUUUGAAAACCAGUUCCAGGGGAAGCACCAGAGGAAGACUGAUUUCAGCGUCCUGCAGGGGCUGCGGAGCAAGUCAAGGACAGACCCAUAUACUGCCCCUCACACUCCGUGUCCUUCCCCAGGGCCAGCACAGCUGCUGACGUCAGGAAAGCAAGUCUCUAUGCUGCCGUGAAGGACACACAGCCUGAGGAUGGGGUGGAGCUGGAAAGUCAGAGCCCACACGAUGAAGACCCCCAGGCAGUGACACAUGCCCAGGUGAAACACUCCAGACUCAGGCGGGGAGUGGCCUCUCCUCCCUCCCCACUGUCCGAGGAAUUUCUGGACACAAAGGACGCACAGGCGGAAGAGGACAGGCAGAUGCACACUCAGGCUGCUGCAUCUGAAGCCCCCCAGGAUGUGACCUACGCCCAGCUGCAGAGCUUGACCCUCAGACGGGAGGCAACUGAGCCUCCUCCAACCCAGGAAGGGGAACCUCCCGCUGAGCCCAGCGUCUACGCCACCCUGGCCAUCCACUAACCCGGAGGGGACCCAGACCCCACACUCAGCAGAAGGAGACUCAGGACUGCUGAAGGCACGGGAGCUGCCCCCAGUGGACACCAAUGAACCUCAGACAGCCUGGACCCCUAACACAGACCACGAGGAGACACUGGGAACUUGUGGGACUCACCUGACUCAAAGAUGACUAAUAUCAUCGCAUUUUGGAAAUAAAGCAACAGACUUCUCAAUAAUCAAUGAGUUAAUAAGAAAAAAAAAAAAACAGACAUAAAGGCCAGGUGUGGCACUCGGGAGGCUGAGUCGGGAGGAUUCCUUGAACACAAGAGGUUCAGGCUGCCGAGGCUGCAGUGAGCUAUGACUGUGCCACUGCACUCCAGCCUGUGUGACAGAGGGAGACAAAAAAAAAAGAGUGAGUGAAUGUUUUAAAUUCAAUGAUAAUGUCAAUAUUACACAUCGAACUUAUGAAAUGGGAAAAUUAAGAAGCAUAGCCAGGUGCAGUGGCUCACGUCUGUAAUCCCAAUACUUUGGGAGGGUAAGUGGGGAGGGUGGCUUGAGCUCGGGAGUUCGAGUCAGUCUGAACAGCAUAGUGAGACCCCAUCUCCACAAAAAAUAAAACUAGUUCGGCAUGGUGGCACACGCCUGUAGUCCCAGCUACUUGAGAGGCUGAGGCGGGAGAAUCACUUUGGGCACAGGAGGUCGAGGCUGCAGUGAGCCAAGAUGGUACCACAGCACUUCAGCCUGAGCAACAGUGAGACCCUGUCUCAAAAAAAAUAAACCAAAACAAUUAAAAGGCCAGUGAAAUUA